CUCAAUUUGUCUCUGCUGCUCCUUGCACGAUCGAGCAACAACUUCAUGCACCGUAUCGCUUGAAUGGAGUUUCUGAAGAACAGCAGAAAGGUGCCUAGGUUGCUGAUUCACAACUUGAAGUGGCCAACUAUCUGGCCCAACAGCUGGUUGAGAAGCGCCAUCUGCAAAAUCUGGACUAAUUGCUUCUUCAAAAUUCUUGAAGUGGUCAUUUCCACCGGGUUGCAGGCGG
rnacentral:misc_RNA from 1 species